rnacentral:rRNA from 1 species
GGUUAAGUGACUAAGCGUACACGGUGGAUGCCUAGGCAGUCAGAGGCGAUGAAGGGCGUGCUAAUCUGCGAAAAGCGUCGGUAAGGUGAUAUGAACCGUUACAACCGGCGAUACCCGAAUGGGGAAACCCAGUGUGUUUCGACACACUAUCAUGUCAUGAAUACAUAGUGGCAUGAGGCGAACCGGGGGAACUGAAACAUCUAAGUACCCCGAGGAAAAGAAAUCAACCGAGAUUCCCCCAGUAGCGGCGAGCGAACGGGGAGGAGCCCAGAACCUGAAUCGGCUUGUGUGUUAGUGGAAGCGUCUGGAAAGUCGCGCAGUAAAGGGUGAUAGCCCCGUACACUAAAAUGCACAGGUCGUGAGUUCGAUGAGUAGGGCGGGACACGUGACAUCCUGUCUGAAUAUGGGGGGACCAUCCUCCAAGGCUAAAUACUCCUGACUGACCGAUAGUGAACCAGUACCGUGAGGGAAAGGCGAAAAGAACCCCGGCGAGGGGAGUGAAAUAGAACCUGAAACCGUGUACGUACAAGCAGUGGGAGCACCUUCGUGGUGUGACUGCGUACCUUUUGUAUAAUGGGUCAGCGACUUAUAUUUUGUAGCAAGGUUAACCGUAUAGGGGAGCCGUAGGGAAACCGAGUCUUAACUGGGCGAAUAGUUGCAAGGUAUAGACCCGAAACCCGGUGAUCUAGCCAUGGGCAGGUUGAAGGUUGGGUAACACUAACUGGAGGACCGAACCGACUAAUGUUGAAAAAUUAGCGGAUGACUUGUGGCUGGGGGUGAAAGGCCAAUCAAACCGGGAGAUAGCUGGUUCUCCCCGAAAGCUAUUUAGGUAGCGCCUCGUGAACUCAUCUUCGGGGGUAGAGCACUGUUUCGGCUAGGGGGCCAUCCCGGCUUACCAAACCGAUGCAAACUCCGAAUACCGAAGAAUGUUAUCACGGGAGACACACGGCGGGUGCUAACGUCCGUCGUGAAGAGGGAAACAACCCAGACCGCCAGCUAAGGUCCCAAAGUCAUGGUUAAGUGGGAAACGAUGUGGGAAGGCAUAGACAGCCAGGAUGUUGGCUUAGAAGCAGCCAUCAUUUAAAGAAAGCGUAAUAGCUCACUGGUCGAGUCGGCCUGCGCGGAAGAUGUAACGGGGCUAAACCAUGCACCGAAGCUGCGGCAGCGACGCUUAGGCGUUGUUGGGUAGGGGAGCGUUCUGUAAGCCGUUGAAGGUGGCCUGUGAGGGUUGCUGGAGGUAUCAGAAGUGCGAAUGCUGACAUAAGUAACGAUAAAGCGGGUGAAAAGCCCGCUCGCCGGAAGACCAAGGGUUCCUGUCCAACGUUAAUCGGGGCAGGGUGAGUCGACCCCUAAGGCGAGGCUGAAAAGCGUAGUCGAUGGGAAACAGGUUAAUAUUCCUGUACUUGGUGUUACUGCGAAGGGGGGACGGAGAAGGCUAGGCUAGCCGGGCGACGGUUGUCCCGGUUUAAGCGUGUAGGGGGUGUGACCUGGUAAAUCCGGUUACAUAUCAACCCUGAGGCGUGAUGACGAUGCACUACGGUGCAGAAGUAGUUGAUGCCCUGCUUCCAGGAAAAGCCUCUAAGCUCCAGGUAACAUUAAAUCGUACCCCAAACCGACACAGGUGGUCAGGUAGAGAAUACCAAGGCGCUUGAGAGAACUCGGGUGAAGGAACUAGGCAAAAUGGUGCCGUAACUUCGGGAGAAGGCACGCUGGCAUGUAGGUGAAGUCCUUCGCGGAUGGAGCUGAAGCCAGUCGAAGAUACCAGCUGGCUGCAACUGUUUAAUAAAAACACAGCACUGUGCAAACACGAAAGUGGACGUAUACGGUGUGACGCCUGCCCGGUGCUGGAAGGUUAAUUGAUGGGGUCAGCCGCAAGGCGAAGCUCUUGAUCGAAGCCCCAGUAAACGGCGGCCGUAACUAUAACGGUCCUAAGGUAGCGAAAUUCCUUGUCGGGUAAGUUCCGACCUGCACGAAUGGCGUAAUGAUGGCCAGGCUGUCUCCACCCGAGACUCAGUGAAAUUGAACUCGCUGUGAAGAUGCAGUGUACCCGCGGCAAGACGGAAAGACCCCGUGAACCUUUACUAUAGCUUGACACUGAACAUUGAGCCUUGAUGUGUAGGAUAGGUGGGAGGCUUUGAAGCGUGGACGCCAGUCUGCGUGGAGCCAUCCUUGAAAUACCACCCUUUAAUGUUUGAUGUUCUAACUCGGCCCCAUAAUCUGGGGUGAGGACAGUGUCUGGUGGGUAGUUUGACUGGGGCGGUCUCCUCCCAAAGAGUAACGGAGGAGCACGAAGGUUAGCUAAUCACGGUCGGACAUCGUGAGGUUAGUGCAAAGGCAUAAGCUAGCUUGACUGCGAGAGUGACGGCUCGAGCAGGUACGAAAGUAGGUCUUAGUGAUCCGGUGGUUCUGAAUGGAAGGGCCAUCGCUCAACGGAUAAAAGGUACUCCGGGGAUAACAGGCUGAUACCGCCCAAGAGUUCAUAUCGACGGCGGUGUUUGGCACCUCGAUGUCGGCUCAUCACAUCCUGGGGCUGAAGUAGGUCCCAAGGGUAUGGCUGUUCGCCAUUUAAAGUGGUACGCGAGCUGGGUUUAGAACGUCGUGAGACAGUUCGGUCCCUAUCUGCCGUGGGCGUUGGAAGAUUGAGAGGGGUUGCUCCUAGUACGAGAGGACCGGAGUGAACGCACCACUGGUGUUCGGGUUGUCAUGCCAAUGGCAUUGCCCGGUAGCUAAGUGCGGAAAAGAUAAGCGCUGAAAGCAUCUAAGCGCGAAACUUGCCUCAAGAUGAGUCUUCCCUGGGCCUUUAAGGUCCCUGAAGGAACGUUUAAGACUAAGACGUUGAUAGGCUGGGUGUGUAAGUGCAGCGAUGCAUUGAGCUAACCAGUACUAAUGAUCCGUGAGGCUUAACCUU